GGUUUACGACCUCGAUGUUGGAUCAGGAUUAGAUCCACCUAGAGGAGCCUGUUCUAGAACCGAUAACCCCCGUUAAACCUCACCUNNUUCUUNGUUUAUNCCCGCCUAUAUACCACCGUCGUCAGCUUACCCUGUGAAGGUCUAAUAGUAAGCAAAAUUGGCAUNAACCCAAANNACGUCAGGUCGAGNGUGUAGCCUANUGGAAGGGAAGAAAUGGGCUACAUUCCCUUGCANCAGGGNAAUACGAAGAUAAACUGAAAGUNUUUUUCCAAAGGAGGAUUUAG
rnacentral:rRNA from 1 species